CCGUUGAUUACGGCAACAUAAAAACAGAGAAAUGGAAGCUUACAGAAACUAGUUUCUUCUAUUUCGCUUCUUUCCCUGCGGCUCUCUUCAACUUUCUCCUUCUCUCAAGCUAGGGCAAAGUACAUUUCAGCUUGAUUUGGAUCUUCGCUUAGUUGCUGUCAAGAAACGCAAGGCAAACUCCAGCGGCUAAGGAACACUCGUGUAUUCAGAUUAUAAACACAGCUCUUAUAAAGAAAUGGAGAUGCAGGGUAUCGAUCCCCGUACCUCUUGCAUGCUAAGCAAGCGCUCUACCAUAUGAGCUACAUCCCCAAUUCAAUAUUCAAAUAUAUGGGAAACACAAGGCAAACGACAUACUCUAACGGCUAAGGAACACUUGUCAUAAUCAGGUUUGUUUACAAAUUACGUCGUUUUUUAUAAAUUCUAUAUUCAUGUUAUGAACCGUGGCUCGUACAAAAUGGAGAGGCAGGGUAUCAAUCCUAUACCUUGCAUGCUAAGUAAUCACUCUACCAUAUGAGCCACAUCCCCAAUUCAUUAUUCAACAAUAUGUGAAACAACACAAGGCAAACGACAAGGCAAACGACAUGGAGAUGUGGGGUAUUGAUUCUCGUACCUCUUGCAUGCUAAGCAAGCACUCUACUCCCAAUUCAUUAUUCAAAUAUACGUGAAACACAAGGCAAACGACAUGUUCCAACGGCUAAGGAACACUCGUCAUAUUCAGGUUCGUUUAUAAGUUACUCAAUUUUUGCAUCAAUAUUUUGGCCAUGGAUUUAGGCCUUUGAAUUUGAUCCAAACCCAUCUAAAAUGGAGAUGUAAGAUGCAA